rnacentral:rRNA from 1 species
UUAUGUGAUCGUCUCUCGCAUAUCAAUAAGCGGAGGAAAAGAAACUAACAAGGAUUCCUCUAGUAACGGCGAGUGAAGCGGGAAGAGCUCAAAUUUGAAAUCUUAAAGGGUUUCCCUUUACGAAUUGUAGUUUAAAGAAGUGUUUUCUGUUGAGGUUUUGGUAAAAGUUCUUUGGAAUAGGACAUCAUAGAGGGUGAGAAUCCCGUAUUUGACCUUUACUUUCAACUUUGUGAUACACUUUCAAAGAGUCGGAUUGUUUGGGAAUGCAGUCCAAAAUGGGUGGUAAAUUUCAUCUAAAGCUAAAUAUUGGCGAGAGACCGAUAGCGAACAAGUACCGUGAGGGAAAGAUGAAAAGAACUUUGAAAAGAGAGUUAAACAGUACGUGAAAUUGUCAAAAGGGAAGCGUUUGACACCAGUGUUGUUUUUCUGAAAAUCAAUUAAAGAACUGUUUAUGCUAAGUUGUUUAGACUUUAUCAGCUAACUGUUUAGUUUUGAGCUUUUCUUUAUGCACUUUUCAGUUAACAAGUCAACAUCAAUUUCUUUUGCUGUAAAAAAGCUUGAGGAAGGUGGCUUGAGAUUCGUCUUAAGUGUUUAUAGCCUCUUGCCUAUGCAGUCGGAGAGAUUGAGGUCUGCAGCGUAGAUCCUUCGGGGCUAAAUGCAUUUGUGCUAAGUUAUAGCAUUUUAUAGACAACUUGUUGACUAUGAUUUGUCUUGUAGCUUACUCGCUUAUGUUAUUUUACCUACGCUUAGGAUGUUGAGUAGCGACAUACGCAC